rnacentral:rRNA from 1 species
GCCCGGGACUGAGCCGUUUCGAGAAAAGCGGGGACCGCUGUUUCGAUGUUUGUAUGCUUUUCCGGUGUACGAGCGGAGAUUCUUAUGUGGCGGAAACCGCUUUUAUCGCAGUGGCUUGAACCGGGCAAAAGUCGUAACAAGGUU